rnacentral:rRNA from 1 species
CUGGAGGUAUCAGAAGUGCGAAUGCUGACAUAAGUAACGAUAAAGCGGGUGAAAAGCCCGCUCGCCGGAAGACCAAGGGUUCCUGUCCAACGUUAAUCGGGGCAGGGUGAGUCGACCCCUAAGGCGAGGCCGAAAGGCGUAGUCGAUGGGAAACAGGUUAAUAUUCCUGUACUUGGUGUUACUGCGAAGGGGGGACGGAGAAGGCUAUGUUGGCCGGGCGACGGUUGUCCCGGUUUAAGCGUGUAGGCUGGUUUUCCAGGCAAAUCCGGAAAAUCAAGGCUGAGGCGUGAUGACGAGGCACUACGGUGCUGAAGCAACAAAUGCCCUGCUUCCAGGAAAAGCCUCUAAGCAUCAGGUAACAUCAAAUCGUACCCCAAACCGACACAGGUGGUCAGGUAGAGAAUACCAAGGCGCUUGAGAGAACUCGGGUGAAGGAACUAGGCAAAAUGGUGCCGUAACUUCGGGAGAAGGCACGCUGAUAUGUAGGUGAAGUCCCUCGCGGAUGGAGCUGAAAUCAGUCGAAGAUACCAGCUGGCUGCAACUGUUUAUUAAAAACACAGCACUGUGCAAACACGAAAGUGGACGUAUACGGUGUGACGCCUGCCCGGUGCCGGAAGGUUAAUUGAUGGGGUCAGCGCAAGCGAAGCUCUUGAUCGAAGCCCCGGUAAACGGCGGCCGUAACUAUAACGGUCCUAAGGUAGCGAAAUUCCUUGUCGGGUAAGUUCCGACCUGCACGAAUGGCGUAAUGAUGGCCAGGCUGUCUCCACCCGAGACUCAGUGAAAUUGAACUCGCUGUGAAGAUGCAGUGUACCCGCGGCAAGACGGAAAGACCCCGUGAACCUUUACUAUAGCUUGACACUGAACAUUGAGCCUUGAUGUGUAGGAUAGGUGGGAGGCUUUGAAGUGUGGACGCCAGUCUGCAUGGAGCCGACCUUGAAAUACCACCCUUUAAUGUUUGAUGUUCUAACGUUGACCCGUGAUCCGGGUUGCGGACAGUGUCUGGUGGGUAGUUUGACUGGGGCGGUCUCCUCCUAAAGAGUAACGGAGGAGCACGAAGGUUGGCUAAUCCUGGUCGGACAUCAGGAGGUUAGUGCAAUGGCAUAAGCCAGCUUGACUGCGAGCGUGACGGCGCGAGCAGGUGCGAAAGCAGGUCAUAGUGAUCCGGUGGUUCUGAAUGGAAGGGCCAUCGCUCAACGGAUAAAAGGUACUCCGGGGAUAACAGGCUGAUACCGCCCAAGAGUUCAUAUCGACGGCGGUGUUUGGCACCUCGAUGUCGGCUCAUCACAUCCUGGGGCUGAAGUAGGUCCCAAGGGUAUGGCUGUUCGCCAUUUAAAGUGGUACGCGAGCUGGGUUUAGAACGUCGUGAGACAGUUCGGUCCCUAUCUGCCGUGGGCGCUGGAGAACUGAGGGGGGCUGCUCCUAGUACGAGAGGACCGGAGUGGACGCAUCACUGGUGUUCGGGUUGUCAUGCCAAUGGCACUGCCCGGUAGCUAAAUGCGGAAGAGAUAAGUGCUGAAAGCAUCUAAGCACGAAACUUGCCCCGAGAUGAGUUCUCCCUGACCCUUUAAGGGUCCUGAAGGAACGUUGAAGACGACGACGUUGAUAGGCCGGGUGUGUAAGCGCAGCGAUGCGUUGAGCUAACCGGUACUAAUGAACCGUGAGGCUUAACCUU